GAUGAAGAACGUAGCGAAAUGCGAUACGUAAUGUGAAUUGCAAAUUCAGUGAAUCAUCGAGUCUUUGAACGCACAUUGCGCCCCCUGGUAUUCCGGGGGGCAUGCCUGUCCGAGCGUCAUUGCUGCCCUCAAGCACGGCUUGUGUGUUGGGCCCCGUCCUCCGAUUCCGGGGGACGGGCCCGAAAGGCAGCGGCGGCACCGCGUCCGGUCCUCGAGCGUAUGGGGCUUUGUCACCCACUCUGUAGGCCCGGCCGGCGCUUGCCGAUCAACCCAAAUUUUUAUCCAGGUUGACCUCGGAUCAGGUAGGGAUACCCGCUGAACUUAAGCAUAUCAAUAAGCGGAGGA
rnacentral:misc_RNA from 1 species